rnacentral:rRNA from 1 species
UACGUAGGUGGCGAGCGUUGACCGGAAUUACUGGGUGUAAAGGGCGUGUAGGCGGGGCGGCAAGUCAGAUGUGAAAUUCCGGGGCUUAACCCCGGCGCUGCAUCUGAAACUGUCGUUCUUGAGUGUCGGAGAGGAAAGUGGAAUUCCCAGUGUAGCGGUGAAAUGCGUAGAGAUUGGGAGGAACACCAGUGGCGAAGGCGGCUUUCUGGACGAUAACUGACGCUGAGGAGCGAAAGCGUGGGGAGCAAACAGG